rnacentral:lncRNA from 1 species
GAAUAUAUGAAAAAGAAUGUUAUACUGGAGGACUUUCUCUUUGGAAUUGCUGUGCAGAUAAGGUCACUGGGUAAUAGGAUGUAAAGAGGAGUUCUCAAAACAACCUCACAGACUCAGAAUAAUCAAAACAAUUGAAGACUUAACUUCAAUUUCAAAACUUACCACAGAGCAACAGUAAUCAAGACAGUAUGGUACUUCCCUAAGGACAAACAUAUAUGAAUGAAAGAGAAACCAGAUUUUGGAAAUUUUAAAGAGUGCCAAGACCAUUCAGCAAGGAAUGAAUAGUCUUUUCAACAAAAUUGUGAGACAAUAGAUAUUCACAUGCAAAAAAUGUACCUGGACUCCUACCUCAUGCCAUAUAAAAAUAUUAACUCAAAAUGGAUUAUAGGGAGGAAGUGGAGGAAGAUGACCAGAAAAAAACCUUCCAGCGAUUAUCCCUAACUUGCCCUGCAGGAAGACCAAAUUGAACAACUAUCCACAAAAGAAAGCACCAUCAUAUGAGGCAAAAAUCAGAUAUGUCCUGAGAGUUUCUGAAGUUAUUUAACUGGUUCAAUGAGAAUUUAAUCAAGGUCUGCUUUAUAUCAAAAUUUAUGAUUUUUAUUCAAUGCCAUACAUAGAAUUUGUUCACAGUUAUCAUCAAACACACUCAUGAAACUAACACAGACAUCAUGUAGAUCAUGGAUGUAAGGCUUUGAAACUUGAGGCAGAAAAAACAGGCUAAGGAUGUGUGGUUCCAUACUCUCUUGCAAUGCUAGGGGGCAGCAACUGAAGCUACCAGUCAGGCCACAAGAUUAUGAGGGUAAACAACUGAUAUUCUGCAGUGCACUGUAUUGCCAGAAGAUUUUGCCCAAAUGUAGGCUAAUCGAUGUAAAGAGCAAAUUCUGAGUAUAAACUUCUUUGUAAGUGCUUCCUUGUUCUUUUGCAAAGUCCAAAAUAAUCAUCGGGAGAAGAAUGGCCUCUUCUUCAAGAAAAACACCACAAAACAGUUGGUACCAUUAAACACAGUUCCUCCACUUAGAAAACAAGGACCCCAGUUAUUCCAGCUGUUAAAUGGAGUGGAUCAAAAGGCUGAUUAAAUGUAACGGAUUCCAAAGAAUGGCUGGCACAUAGUUCAGAGUAUGUGUGGAGGUUUGUUACAUAGGUAAAUGGCAUGACACGAAGGUUUGAUGUAAAGACUAUUUCAUCCCCUAGAUCCAGUGAUUAAUCAGUAUGUCUAUGAGUGGCUAAAUUUUAUUGCACCAUUCUGAAGAAUACAAAAUUUGUCACUCCUCCGAGAGACACUUAAUAUUUGACCUGGUUCACAUGAGAGAACUCUAAAUGGAUAAAGAAAUCCCUGAGGAACGCUGCAGAAGGCUGUGGAUGUCUUCUCUGGACCAUGUAGUUUUAUGUAACAACAUACCACAGUAAUGGACCUUCUUCUAUAAUUCAUAGAAAGCCAUUAAAUGAUUUAAUAUC